UGACUGAAUGAUGAAAUGAAAAUGGGAUCCAACUUCAAAUUCAAAACUCAUCAGAACAUGCUGAGUCAAGAUGAAGAAGAGGCAAGACUAUGAUGGGUCGUCAACUGAAUUGACUCACCUCUUUACUGAAGGGAAGGAUUUCUAACUCUGAAGCUGCUACAGAGCUGAAAGAAACAAAAUUUAUGAAGCAGACCAAUGGCGACUCCAUAUGAAUUCGCAAAAACAAUUCGUCCGAAUAUCACAACUCCAUUUUUGAGUGCAAAGAUAGUGAAAUUUUGUCUUAGUCCCCUGUAAAACUUUCUUAUUCUCCCAGGAUCAUAUCCUGGGAAUAUAUAAUACAUUCCAAUCCUCAUCAACUGUCUUGUCUUAUUUUGUAUUAAACCACUGCCAGAAUAUACUAAAUCAAAGCAUAGUUUUACUUUUACAACAAA